AGUGAACGCUGGCGGUAGGCCUAACACAUGCCAGUCGAACGGCAGCACAGUAAGAGCUUGCUCUUACGGGUGGCGAGUGGCGGACGGGUGAGGAAUACAUCGGAAUCUACUUUUUCUUGGGGGAUAACGUAGGGAAACUUACGCUACUACCGCAUACGACCUACGGGUGAAAGCAGUGGAUCUUCGGACCUUGCGCGAUUGAAUUAGCCGAUGUCGGAUUAGCUAGUUGGCUGGGUAAAGGCCCACCAAGGCAACGAUCCGUAGCUGGUCUGAGAGGAUGAUCAGCCACACUGGAACUGAGACACGGUCCAGACUCCUACGGGAGGCAGCAGUAGGGAAUAUUGGGCAAUGGGCGAAAGCCUGAUCCAGCCAUACCGCGUGGGUGAAGAAGGCCUUCGGGUUGUAAAGCCCUUUUGUUGGGAAAGAAAAGAAGCAGGUUAAUACCCCGCUGUUCUGACGGUACCCAAAGAAUAAGCACCGGCUAACUUCGUG
rnacentral:rRNA from 1 species